UUCUCUUAUAGCUCAGUGGUAGAGCGCCAGACUGUUAAUCUGUGGGCCGUAUGUUCAAAUCAUACUUGGAGAG
rnacentral:tRNA from 1 species